GACGAACGCUGGCGGCGUGCCUAAUACAUGCAAGUCGAACGCAGUGGGGACGGGUGAGUAACAAGUGGGUAACCUCCCAUCAGAGGGGAUAACACGUGGAAACAGGUGCUAAACCGAUACUGAUGGAUGGACCGGGGGGGAAUUAGCUAGUUGGUGGGGAAACGGCUCACCAAGGCCACGAUGCAUAGCCGCCCUGAGAGGGUGAUCGGCCACACUGGGACUGAGACACGGCCCAGACUCCUACGGGAGGCAGCAUUAGGGAAUCUUCGGCAAUGGACGCAAGUCUGACCGAGCCACGCCGCGUGAGUGAAGAAGGUUUUCGGAUCGUAAAACUCUGUUGUUAGAGAAGCGGUAUCUAACCAGAAAGCCCCGGCUAACUCCGUGCCAGCAGCCGCGGUAAUUC
rnacentral:rRNA from 1 species